rnacentral:rRNA from 1 species
GACGAACGCUGGCGGCGUGCCUAAUACAUGCAAGUCGAACGCAGUGGGGACGGGUGAGUAACACGUGGGUAACCUCCCAUCAGAGGGGAUAACACUUGGAAACAGGUGCUAAACCGAUACUGAUGGAUGGACCCGCGGUGCAUUAGCUAGUUGGUGAGGUAACGGCUCACCAAGGCCACGAUGCAUAGCCGACAUGAGAGGGUGUUCAGCCAGAAUGGGACUGAGACACGGCCCAGACGCCGAAGGGAGGCAGCAGUAGGGAAUCUGCGGCAAUGUACGAAAGUCUGACCGAUCAACGCCGCGUGAGUGAAGAAGGUUUUCGUAUAGUAAAACUCUGUUGUUAGAGAAGCGGUAUCUAACCAGAAAGCCACGGCUAACUACGUGCCAGCCGCCGCGGUAAUAC